AUGUCAGGUAGGAUAAUCCUUACCUGUUCCUCUUCGGAGGGCAGAUUACAACGUGAUGAUUGGAAAAAAAAAAAAAGCAUUCCCAACGCGCCCGGAUUCUGUU
ensembl:snoRNA U8 U8 small nucleolar RNA